rnacentral:rRNA from 1 species
UACGGGGGGAGCAAGCGUUGUUCGGAUUUACUGGGCGUAAAGGGCGCGUAGGCGGCCUCCGCAAGUCAGUUGUGAAAUCUCCGAGCUUAACUCGGAAAGGUCAACUGAUACUGCGGGGCUAGAGUGCGGAAGGGGCAACUGGAAUUCUUGGUGUAGCGGUGAAAUGCGUAGAUAUCAGGAGGAACACCGAUGGCGAAGGCGGCAUCCUGGACCGGCAUUGACGCUGAGGCGCGAAAGCUAGGGGAGCAAACGGG